rnacentral:rRNA from 1 species
UACGUAGGGUCCGAGCGUUGUCCGGAAUUACUGGGCGUAAAGAGCUCGUAGGUGGUUUGUCGCGUUGUUCGUGAAAACUCACAGCUUAACUGUGGGCGUGCGGGCGAUACGGGCAGACUUGAGUACUGCAGGGGAGACUGGAAUUCCUGGUGUAGCGGUGGAAUGCGCAGAUAUCAGGAGGAACACCGGUGGCGAAGGCGGGUCUCUGGGCAUGACCUGACGCUGAGGAGCGAAAGCGUGGGGAGCGAACAGG